rnacentral:lncRNA from 1 species
AUUUGGGGAACGCCCCUUCUUUCCUCUUCUCCCUAACAAGGUGGAGAUGGUUUUGCUCAGACAAACUUUAUUACCAGCACCAAUGAGGGGAACUGAGAAUUCUGAGACACUGCAGUUGACAUCACAGAACUCUAGCUGCUCUGUGUACUGUAUCCUUUUCCACCUUUGUCCUUAAAAGCUAUUGGAACCCUUAUAAAAAAUGCAGCUGUGUAUUUAGAGAGCAACCCUUACUUUGAAUGGUUCUUUUACCUGAUAAGGCAUCUGGAUAUUUAUUCCUCCAACCCAACUCCAAUCGCCCCCUUUUGUGUUUGCCCAGGUAGAGGAAAAUCUCCAGUCCACUCCCAUCUGUUUGCCUCAUCCAGGCCAUGGAAGGAUCACUACUACAAUAAAAUUCCUGAGACUGCCAAGACCCAGGAACCUUGGGUGCUGAUGGGUUCUCUUGGAUGAGGAGAAAACAACAGGACCACCGGAUUAGGGUUUGUUAUAGCCCAACUCUCCCUGCUUCUUGCUUCUUACUAAAUAAUGGAUCAAUGACCGCCUGGCAGAAUUAGCCUUUCAAUUGACUUUUGUCUUUUGCCCAUCAUUUCCAAAGCUCAUCUCCCAAGGGGAAGACUGAAAGGAGU